rnacentral:rRNA from 1 species
GAUGAACGCUGGCUACAGGCUUAACACAUGCAAGUCGAGGGGAAACGACGGGGAAGCUUGCUUCCCCGGGCGUCGACCGGCGCACGGGUGAGUAACGCGUAUCCAACCUGCCUCUGACUGAGGGAUAACCCGUCGAAAGUCGGCCUAAUACCUCAUGGCAUCGUCUGCGGGCAUCCAACGACGAUUAAAGAUUUCAUCGGUCAGGGAUGGGGAUGCGUCUGAUUAGCUAGUUGGCGGGGUAACGGCCCACCAAGGCGACGAUCAGUAGGGGUUCUGAGAGGAAGGUCCCCAACAUUGGAACUGAGACACGGACCAAACUCCUACGGGAGGCAGCAGUGAGGAAUAUUAGUCAAUGGGCGAGAGCCUGAACCAGCCAAGUAGCGUGCAGGAUGACGGCCCUAUGGGUUGUAAACUGCUUUUAUGCGGGGAUAAAGUGAGGGACGUGUCCUUCAUUGCAGGUACCGCAUGAAUAAGGACCGGCUAAUUCCGUG